rnacentral:lncRNA from 1 species
GAGAUAGGGGCGGUCUGGCUUGGGGAGUUUGCCAGAUAUUACACAACAGAAGCUUGAAGACAUCAAGAAGGGAGGGGGAAUAACUCUCACAACCACUUGCAGAAGAAGAGAAGUAGCAAACAGAGCUUGACCGGCUUAAGAUCAUCGUCGUCAUUGGAGAUAAUAAUCUGAGAAACCAAAAAAAAAGGAAUGAGCAUGUCUACUAUUUGUACAAAUAUAAUUGAGCCAAAAUCUACAGAAGAAACCUGAGAGAAAGAACUCACUUGAUUAAUACUAGGUACGAAGGGUGGGAUGGUUGGGAUGGGUGUCCACUGCAUGCCUCAGCACAACAUCUGCUUCCUCCUUGUUCUUAUAUGAAGAGAUGCCAUUCUCAC